GCUUCAAUUGAUGGCGACCGGCGCACGGGUGAGUAACGCGUAUCCAACCUUCCGUACACUCAGGGAUAGCCUUUCGAAAGAAAGAUUAAUACCCGAUGGUAUGAUGAGAUUGCAUGAUAGCAUCAUUAAAGAUUUAUCGGUGUACGAUGGGGAUGCGCUCCAUUAGGUAGUAGGCGGGGUAACGGCCCACCUAGCCGACGAUGGAUAGGGGUUCUGAGAGGAAGGUCCCCCACAUUGGAACUGAGACACGGUCCAAACUCCUACGGGAGGCAGCAGUGAGGAAUAUUGGUCAAUGGACGAGAGUCUGAACCAGCCAAGUAGCGUGAAGGAUGAAGGUCCUACGGAUUGUAAACUUCUUUUAUAAGGGAAUAAAACCUCCCACGUGUGGGAGCUUGUAUGUACCUUAUGAAUAAGCAUCGGCUAACUCCGUGUCAGCAGCCGCGGUAAUACGGAGGAUGCGAGCGUUAUCCGGAUUUAUUGGGUUUAAAGGGAGCGCAGACGGGUCGUUAAGUCAGCUGUGAAAGUUUGGGGCUCAACCUUAAAAUUGCAGUUGAUACUGGCGUCCUUGAGUGCGGUUGAGGUGUGCGGAAUUCGUGGUGUAGCGGUGAAAUGCUUAGAUAUCACGAAGAACUCCGAUUGCGAAGGCAGCACACUAAGCCGUAACUGACGUUCAUGCUCGAAAGUGUGGGUAUCAAACAGGAUUAGAUACCCUGGUAGUCCACACGGUAAACGAUGGAUACUCGCUGUUGGCGAUAUACUGUCAGCGGCUUAGCGAAAGCGUUAAGUAUCCCACCUGGGGAGUACGCCGGCA
rnacentral:rRNA from 1 species